rnacentral:rRNA from 1 species
AGCAGUAGCCAUACCACCUUCACAAUGUCUGAUCUUGUCUGAUCGUGAAAGCUAAGCAGAGGUGAGCCUGGUUAGUACUUGGAUGGGACAUUGCUGAGAAUUCCGGGUCCCACAGUGC